rnacentral:rRNA from 1 species
UACAGAGGGUGCGAGCGUUGUUCGGAAUUAUUGGGCGUAAAGCGCACGUAGGCGGAUUGCUAAGUCAGGGGUGAAAUCCUGGAGCUCAACUCCAGAACUGCCUUUGAUACUGGCGAUCUCGAGUCCGGGAGAGGUGAGUGGAACUGCGAGUGUAGAGGUGAAAUUCGUAGAUAUUCGCAAGAACACCAGUGGCGAAGGCGGCUCACUGGCCCGGUACUGACGCUGAGGUGCGAAAGCGUGGGGAGCAAACAGG